GCGGCAAGGGGCCGAAGCGCGGGCGGGGGGCGCGGGCGGGGAAUGGCGGAGGCCGCGGGCGAGCCGCCCGGCGCGCGGGCCCCGGCGCGGCGCUGAGCCCGCGGGCCCAUGGCGGCCUCUGAGCCGGGCCCCGAGGCGGGCGGCGGCCCGGGGGGCAGCGUGGAGAUCGACCCGGACUUCGCGCCGCAGAGCCGGCCCCGCUCCUGCACCUGGCCCCUGCCCCGGCCCGAGCUCUCGGCGGCGCAGCAGGAGGCGGCGGGCGGCCCGGCGGCGGCGGCGGCGGCGGAGGAGGGGCCCGGCGGGGCGGCGGCGGCGGCGGGGCCCGGGCGGGCCGAGGGGCCGCGGGGGCCCGGCGGGGCGGCGGCGGCGGCGGCGCGGAAGGGCGGCUCCCGGCGGAACGCCUGGGGGAACCAGUCCUACGCCGAGCUGAUCAGCCAGGCCAUCGAGAGCGCCCCGGAGAAGCGGCUGACGCUGGCGCAGAUCUACGAGUGGAUGGUUCGCUUCGUGCCCUACUUCAAGGACAAGGGCGACAGCAACAGCUCGGCCGGCUGGAAGAACUCUAUUAGACACAACUUAUCCCUGCACAGCAAGUUCAUUAAAGUGCAUAAUGAAGCUACAGGGAAGAGUUCUUGGUGGAUGCUCAAUCCUGAAGGUGGUAAAAGUGGGAAAGCACCAAGGAGGAGAGCUGCCUCCAUGGACAACAGCAGCAAACUGGCAAAAGUCAGAGGUAAAGCAUCCAAAAAGAAGGCCUCACUCCAAGCAGCUCCGGAAGCUACUGCCGACAGCCCUGGCUCCCAGUUCCCCAAAUGGCCUGGGAGCCCAUCAUCAAGGAAUAAUGAGGACUCCGAUGUGUGGACCAGUUUCCGGCCUCGAACCAGUUCCAAUGCGAGUACCACUAGUGCCAGGCUGUCUCCUAUCAUGCCUGAGCAGGACGACCUCCCAGAUGAAAAGCUUCUCCCUUCUCUAGUGUACUCCAGUGCAUCCAGCAACGUCCCACCGACCGUGGCUGAGGAGCUUGAACUCAUUGAUGGGUUAAACCUGAUGUCACCCAGUUCAUCUAUGCUGUCCACCCAGCAGUCUGCCUCAAGUGGCUCAGUCCAGAGAGAUUCCAGCUUCUCUUUGAGGACCCAGAAUUCAGCUGGUCAGACCUCUACUUUUGGCACCUCUCUGUUUAACCCUGUUGAUAUCUCACUGCAGAGUUCUGUUAACCGUUUCUCUGGCCCUCAGACUCUUGAAGCUCUCCUGACAUCAAGCUCUCCACCUCCCAGCGAUGUGAUGAUGACUCAGGUGGAUCCAAUACUCCCUCAAACUGGAAGCAGGCUAAACAGCCAGACUUUUCUGCUUCUAGGUGGACAAGUCACCCAGAAUAAAACAAGCCCAGUCAACCCACGAGAAAAACCUUUGGAGCAGCAAUCAGAGUCAAUAAGUGUCAGUGCUUUGCCAUCUAUGCUUUCUGCAGUGGCAUCUCCUCAAAACACAGCCAGCAUGCCCACUCUGAAGGCCCCAGUCCCAGCACCAACGGCCCAAGCAGUCCAUCAGGGCACCCAGUCACUUCUCUCUUCUGUUAGCUCUGCCCCCUUUGGAGUGAACCAGGACAGGCUGCCCACUGACCUGGACGUUGACAUGUACAUGGAGAACCUUGAAUGUGAUGUGGAUUACAUAAUCAACAGUGACCUCAUGGAUGGAGAAGGACUGGAUUUCAACUUUGAACCCAUUCUGUCUACUCCCAGCUACCCCAACACCUCCCAGGCCUCCAACCAUACUUGGGUACCAAGUUAACUUCAGGAAUACAAAAAGCUGGCCAUACUUUGGAUGCAUGCGGCGGGGGACUGAUGUGUGUCCAGAGCAUUGCUGCUUAGCUUUCCCAUCUGGACCAUGGAACAAGAGAUGCAGGAUAAUUUUGGAUGAAUUGAAACAAAUCUGUGUCCUUCAGGUUUCUGAAUGUUGGGUCCUGACUUCGCUUCCCACCCCUGGCAGAGUCUGAAAAAACAGAGCGCACUGGACACAGCUUCUCUGCACGCCAUGCCUGGGGCAGACAGAACUGCCCACCUGGGAGGAAGGGGGCAAAUCUGCGCCUGGUUGCAAUAGGAAGAGUUUUGAAAAAAAUCCUGUUGUGUGCUGCUUCUCUUCCUAAAAAUCCUGACCUGCCAUGGAUCUUCUGCAGAAGCCCCGGGGCUGUGCACAUUCGAAGAGGAGCUCUGGUGAAAAUCCCCAAGCUUGGCCAAAGGCUGUUAUGCCAGACAACAGCGUUAUCCCACACAAAGGGUGGAUGUGUUGGAGGCUGCCUUAUCUCUGCCAUAGCAGCAGUUCGCCCAAUGUCUCAGGCUGUCAGAAGGGGCCUAUUCUGUCCCCACCUUGCCCUCUGGGAUGGAGUAGCUGGGCCUCUUCCUUCAGCCUCCAGCCUUGUGCUUGUACUCCACAGACUUUUAGAAGAAUUGGAAGGAGCCUCUUGGCAGAAGCCUAUUAGGAAUAGGGUAGGGUGCCAGAUGGAUCGGUUUCAAAGUACCCCACCAUUCUGCACCCAUCUGAAGGGUUGGGCGGGUGGCAGCCAGGGAGGCUUCCCUUUGCUCACCUAGGCAGAAGAGGAGGACAUACAGUUUAAUUUCACUGUGCCAACUGGGCCCGUUGAAUGCGUAGCAUGUUCUAGAGAAGUCCUGUGCUGUUCUAAGCACUUUCCUGUUACAGCAGGCUGCUGGAAAGUAGACACAGGUGCUGAUUGUUGUUGCUGGGACUCCAAAACAUCUUUGGGAGUUUGUUUCUGGGCUGUCUUGAUACAGCAGAGAAAGGGGAAGCCUGGGUGUGGCCUUAACAGAGCCCUGGUUGCUUUUCAGAAGGGCAUUUUCUAUAGAUGAAAUAUUUUUUUACUAAUCUAAGGGCUUUCUAUAUUGAAAGCCAAUGUAACCACAUGUCUCCCUUGGCUUACUGGGUAUCUCUCCCCCUAAGAAGGUGGUACCAAUGGCAGAUUUGCCUUUCAAAGCCGUGCUGAGAAUAAAUACACUUGACAUUCAAUUAUGUGUCUGAUUGGGGGAAGAACUGGCAGGCCCCCCAGUUCGGAACUGUGUGAGGAGGGAGUUGUACAUUUCUUGUAAUCUAUAUGUAAAACUAGCUACAAAUUAGAAGCUUUUUCUAAACCUUUUAAAAUAUAUAUAUUUUAUAUAUAUAUUUAAAUUGAGAAACAAGAUUAUUCACUUUUUUUUCUGCAGCUUUAUCCUGUUGAUACCACAUGAACACUACAGUGAGGCUGGGAACAAGCUUGGGGUUAUGGAGUGUGAAUACAGUUUGGGAAGGGGUGGGGGAGACACUUCAGAGUGUUUGGGGAAUAGCCACACUCUUCAAAUCAAAUGGGAGAGGUGUUUACAGAAAUCAGACUGCUGCAGAUCAGUCUCUGGCCAUGUGAUUGAACACUCCCACUAAGUAUCCCCUAACCUUGUGCUCUUGGCUAAUCAUUAACAGGGGAUAAGCUGGGUAUGGUAAGCCCUAGAGUAGCUGGGCUGCGGCUGAUGCUUCAGAGGCUUAGGUUCCCUAACCUCUUAAUGAGGGAGGCUGAUUUGAGCCAGGCCUGCUGACACUCUCUGCAACCUUCGUCCCCAACUAUUUUGAGGCCAGGAGUUCAGUCUGCUUUAGUAGCUGACAACCUGGUUGUCCUGGUUUCUAUAGCUUUUCCUUUUGUUACUGAAGUUUUUCUGCUACUACUUGCUAAUUCUAGUCCUGUAGGCAAUGCUGGAGGAGUCUGAUUGGGGUUCUGACCUGUGGACAGUUUUUGUCCUGGCCAGGACCUGAAGGGGCUAUGAGCGUCAGCUGGCAGUUGUCUUUCAGCUUUUGGGUGUUUGCGGUGGUAGGAUUUGGGGGAGGGGAUAAUUCUUUGCAGUGUUCUAUCCGAUUUGUUAAUGCAGAAAGUCUCCAGCAUUCUUUCUGCAGAUGGUAGAUGAGACUUCUUGCGGAAGGUUUAUGUGGUGAGGUGCUGAAAGUUUGCAUUGCUUUGCUGCCUUCUCUGCAUGUUGUUUCAGGGUUUCACUAGAACUACGGGAGACCUGAACAAGAAUGGUAUGUCUGGCCACCCAAAAUGAGGCCUCUGGAGCAGUCUUUCCUUGAGCCUCAUCUGCCACUAGAUCCUUUUUGGGAACACUCAUUGGAAACUACGUUAAGGCUUUCUCUUUACUGAAGACUUGAGUUCAGGUGUGCGUUUUCACAGUAACAUGCCCUGGGUUCACACCCACAUACAUCUUGCUGUACUGUCUGGUAAUGCAACCAUCACACUCCGAACAAUAGGCAGACCUGGAGUUAGCUUAUCCCAUGCAUUGCUAAACUGGAAUAAUGGCAGUGAAAACAUUUAGCCAUGGUCAAUCAGCGCAACUGAUAGAUGAUAGUCCUCCAAUCCCUUCCCACAAGCCCCGGGCAUCCUGUCCUGUGCACUAAUUGUGCACAUUGCCUUCAUAAAGAACAGUGGCUGAUGGUCUGAUUAUUAGGGCAAGCUGGAUCCUUUCCUUGGGCACCUGACCCACCAUACCAGCAUGGUUAAUGCCACCAGUGAAUUUCCCGGGCCUAGACCACUUACUCCUGCAAUCGCCAGCGUGGGUAGACACCCUGUGAAUGUGAGAAUAGAACAAUGCAGUGAGUUGUGGCACUAUGAAUCUCAGGAUAGUGCCCACGUUAGCUGUAUUGCUUCUCACAGCCACGUAGAGCACCAGUGGGGGUGUGACACAGCAUGCUGACAUUGACAAUGUGUUUGUGCGUUAGUUGGUUAGGCUAGCAUGUGUUCAGUGACCCAUGAUGGCUUACGCUGUGGUUAGUCAGCAGCGAAGACAAAGCCUAAAGGCGCAGGACUGUACUGUUAGUUACCAGUACCUCAGACCUACAAACCCAGUGCAAGCCAGAGCCAUUAGUGAGCAUAUCUGUGCGUUGUAAGCAGUCUGCUUUAGAGCUUUCUUUCAAGUUGUCCAGUUCAAACAGCAGCAUGUUAGUGCACUAACCCACUUGGGUGCCUGUUACAGCCUGUGGGCCAUGGGGUCUGUGCACUGAUAUUGCACUCCUGGGAGCUAGGCAAUUAGGUGGCUUUUCUCACAAAUGUGUCUUGCCUUGACCCAUUGUAGCUCUAGGAGCGAGCUGCAGUCAGGCCUAGCGAGAGUCACUGGAAUUGCUGCUUCACUGGCUUUAAGAGAUGGAGUUUGUUGUAGCUGCUACCUCUCCCUGCUGGACCCUUGCUGUACCGUCUCUCACUGGGAUACUCUCACAGAGCACUUACUGCACUUAGGGUGGACUGAGACCUGUCCCUUAGGGAGUUAAAUGCCCACUGAGAAGCAGACUCCAAGCCUCGCUGCUGCUGCUGCCUCUUCCUGGUGUCUGGAACCCGAACUUCAGCCAGACACUCCAUUGCUCCACCCAGAGACGGCCACAGCAGGAAGUGACCAGUAAUGCUACAGCACGUCCCUAUACAGCUGCAUCGGGCAUAGGCACAAAUGGUUUAUCUCUCGGUAUCUUCCCUGGUAGCUAAGCAUUUUGGCAGCCUCAUCUGCAGGGGGCAGAACAGAUGGUGGUGCUUGUGUCCUGCCGCUGUCUCUGGCCUGUUCAGGGUUUGCUUUCCAUCUCCUCACUGCAGCAGCAAACGGCAGUGUUUGAGGUUCACACUCGGUUGCUCAUAGGUGUUAAGAAAGCCAGUAUGGGAGACUUCCAGUGGAGCCAAAAGCAGCAGGGCUCAGCCUACUGUGAAGGUGGCACUCCAUUUAAAGGCAAAUCAGCCCUUCUCCCGUACAAGGGCAGAGUGGUGGAUCUAGUGAAUGGGAAUGGAUGAGGGCAAGGGGAGGAAGAAUCUGGCAGUUGAGCCUCUUAUGCCCUUUUCCAAACUUCUGACUAGCUCUGUCCAUAAAUAUUGUACUCCUGUAGCCUUGAGCAUUGCCCCAAGUGCUUUUGGGUAACCUGUAGUGAAGCGUCCAGCCCUCAUUCUGAUGUAGGGCCUGGUGGAGAAUUCCAUGUAUAGAAUCACUUUACAUAGUGUGGGUGGGGGACAGCUGUGUUCUGAGGUGGCCCUGUCCUUCUGGGUGCGUGCCUGAGAGAGUUAGCUGGUAGGGGAUGCAGGGCUGUAAGCACAAGGCCUGAUAUAGUACGGUGCUGUGUGGUGUCUCUUCAUCCUUAUAGGCUAGUUGAGCUCAGGCCACACUUAAUUAUUCCAUUCCUGGAUUCAACCACAAUUGUUCAUAGUGUCGAGCUGCUCAGUGCCACGAAGGAUUCUGUGCACUAUCGGCCUGUGGAGCCAGCAAGAGGCAAACCCAUUGCCUUUGUGUACACCUGCGUUCAGCAGCCUCCUUGAGGCACUCUGUGGAUCUGUGAUACCUUCAAGUGGCCCUAGUCUUACUGUCGCUAACAACUCUGAAUAGCCAAAGCUUAUUGGAACCCUUCACUCUCCCCUUUGUCAGGUUGUCACUUCAUGCUACACUGUUUUUAAAUUAGCAAACAAACCAUCCUGACGAGAAACUAAAACAGAGGGAGGGUUCUGGAGACCGUGUAUCUUAUAAAUGAUGUGCAUACUAGAAGCAUGCAGCACUAAUCAGCUUUUCCAAAGGAAAUGCCUAGAAAGAUUUUAUUUAGGCCAUGAAUUCUUAUUUUUAAAUUUAGUUGCUUAUUUAUUGUCCUGCUCCAGGUGGUAUUGCCCUCAGAAGUCCCUGUGCAUUGCAGCGUGGACCUGGGGGGGCCUCAAAAGGCAGAGGCACUCAUACCAGUCUGAUGCAGUAGCUCUGAAAGGACUGUCUUGAGCCUUGUUGCUUUAUUUCUGAUAAAAAUAAAGUGAGAGUUUGGAUCCAUCAUUUAUAGUUGUGGGACAUGAGCAUGAGUGGGAUAGUUUGGGGUUCAGGUCUUUUCCCCCUACCCAAACUCCAUCUGAGGUAGGAAAAUGGAUUGGUGUUGUGAUUACAUUGAAAAGCUUGAUGAUGAUAAAUUAAAUCCUUGAUCCACUGUGUAAGGCUGUGUCUAUAUGGAUGGUACCAUGUUGAGUACAGACACUGCGCAUCCCGCUGGCCUGGGUCUAAAUAGCAGUGUGAAUGGUGAGAGAGAGAGUUUAGGCAUCUAGAGUACCCUGAAUGCCCAGGGUGUAUACCCUACAUGUUUCUACACACUGAAGCAGUGCCUCCCAUGUCUACAUUGCUGUUUUUAGCAGUGUAGUGUCCAGCUACCUCCCCACUGCAGGGAAAGGUUCUUGCGGGGAAAGGCUCCGGGAGCUCCCUAUUGCCAAAGCCUUUCAUGUGCCAUGUAGCUACAUGGGUAGUGCCUGUACUCUGCAUGCUGCUGUAAUCAUAGAUGUAGCCUAAAAGAUGGAUUUCGUGGAGAGGUCUGUCCUUGUGAUAAUCCGUCAGUGCAUGGAACCCACUGCCACCCCUCCUCUCCACCUGCAGUAACACGUUCUGUGGGAAAAGGGAUCCCUCUCAAAGCACCCAGGCUACUUCACUCCCUGUGCCAGGGUACAUCCUAAGGGGAAGAGGUUCUGCAUGGGACAGUCUGAUUUAGUCAUUGUGCUGACAGAAAUGGGUGGUGUCAGUGACUGACUGAUACACACCUUGGUGCUGAGGUGAAAGGAGGGAGCCCAGGUGUAUAAAAGGCCAAGAGGGUGAAGCAGCUGCUUGCAGAGCUGUGUUCAUGGUGGUCUUGCAAAGGCUAUUGACAGCAUGUUUCAUGGCAUGUAGCUUGGGGAUGUUUGCAAUCAGCUGAGUGCUGUAUGGUGAAGCACCAGCAGUGCCUAGAGGGGGAUUUAGAUGCUUGGAGGGUGCAUCAGUUUGGAAGGAGGCUUUUUCAUUAGACUGCAAAGAUAGGAAAUGGUCCCAUGAUCUACUCUUUCCAGGACAGUAUUGUCGUCAUUCUCCACUCCCUCUGGACGAUGGCCCCAGCCUCUUUGCUCUCAUAGUGGGAUGCCUGCACCAACAUGCUAAGAGUGUCAGCCUGUUGCUCACAAGCAGGGUUUCUCUGUUGCUGGCACAGGCCCCCCGUUCCCAUAGCGUAGGCAGCACCAGCUGGCAUAGGUUCCCACACCUGCCCCAGCUGCACUCUCGUUCAGUCAUUUCUCAUGAAGUUUUUUACUUUUUAAAUCUCUGCUUUUUGUUUGCUCUCCUGGUGAUUUCCGAACUAUUACAGGCUCUGUUUCCAUCUGUGCUAGUGAGACUGUGUAGAAUGUGCUAGACUAGGGGGAAAGUUUGACAAAUAAAGAUCUGUAAUCCUUU